rnacentral:rRNA from 1 species
AUGAAACCCUCGCUUCUCGAACCACCUCUCCUCUACGGGUCUCCAGGGUUGCGGAAAAAAAGCGGCGCCAGCAGGCUACGGGGAGGAGGGCAGCGCCCUGCCGACGAUUUAUCUGGCUACUUCCUCCCCGUCGAUCCCUGCCUGGACCAUACCGUCUCCAUCUUGAAGAAGGCUCGAUCUUUUCCGGCGUCAGGUGAGCAGCUGGGUGUCCUUUUUUUCUUGCGGUUUAUGGCCGGCGGUGGCCUGAAUCUAAGUGGUGGUUGCCGUCCGGGCCGGCCGCCUUCUUUUUGUUCUUCUCCUUGCCUUCCUUGUCACCUCUCCCAAUCGCAAGUGCACGCCUCCACGAGAGCAGCGAACAGAGCAGGCAUUCAUGGAGCAGAUUCCUUUUUUUUUCUCCACUCCUCUUGCUCCCUUCUGAUCGAGCUCCGCGUAGAGGAGGGGCUCGAGCCAGGUGAUGGCCAACACUCCGCCACGGAGGCCAACAUGAGGAGGUGCCCAAUCUCGCUGUUGCUCCCCUUUGCGAUUGAUGAGUUCGUGAUGUACGAAAAGAGAAUGCCUUAG